CGGAUCGUAGCGCAGCUUGGCAGCGCACUCGCUUCGGGAGCGAGGGGUCGCCGGUUCAAAUCCGGCCGGUCCGAC
rnacentral:tRNA from 1 species